rnacentral:rRNA from 1 species
UACGAAGGGGGCUAGCGUUGUUCGGAAUUACUGGGCGUAAAGGGCGCGUAGGCGGUGUGUCAAGUCAGGCGUGAAAGCCCCGGGCUCAACCUGGGAACAGCGCUUGAGACUGGCACGCUCGAGUUCGGGAGAGGAUGGUGGAAUUCCCAGUGUAGAGGUGAAAUUCGUAGACAUUGCUAGGAACACCAAUGGCGAAGGCAGCUUGCUGGGCUACUCCUGACACUGAGGUACGAAAGCGUGGGGAGCGAACAGG